rnacentral:lncRNA from 1 species
AUGAGAGACGACGUAUUGCCUGAAGACGCACAGGCCACACCACGCUGUUCCUUGUGGGUCACAAUCCUGGUUGACCAGCGGGACCCGGAGACAGUUUGGCGCAGCGAAAAGAAUCUGGAGCGGUGGUUUGGGAUCUUGGAGGGCCCCUGCCUAUCCGGCCUGAAUGCACACCCCACCCGCUUCAACAUCUCUCUCUCUACCUACGGAACAAGGAAGAAAACAAAGGAACAAGGGAGGUUGGCAACUGGCCCGAUGCCCGAUGCUAACGCGGUACCGGGCACACAGUAGACCUCUGUAGAGGCCAGGAUUGGGGAUUAUGCCCGCGCUGAUCCUAAAUGCCCGUCGGAUGGCCGCUCCUGCAGCUUAGCAUCACGGGAGCAGCUCCUGACACUCCUACGUGCUGAUCCUUCCUGAACCACGUCCGCGUCUUAAACUUUCUCAGGGCCACGCGGCCCAUGUAGAGAGGUGUGCGGGCACCCACUUAAUCUGGGGGCACCUCCGAGGUAGGGGCAGCGGGGCGCGCCUGCAAGGAGUAGGGGGCACUGGGAGCUCAGGGUAAGAGGCUGAGAAGGAGGCUCCGAAGACAGGCGCCGGAAGGUUUGCACAGAAGCAAGGCGACCACCGUCACCCAAGAUGAAUCCCCAGCUCCCCCGCCCCGUGCCCUCUGGUUUGCAUCAUUUUCAAAUAUCAAAAGCAGCCACGAGCUCACGUGGAGCCCCGGGGAGAGAGCAUUCCGCCUUGUUGACACUCCCCAGAUGGCUCCAGCCACCACAGUUCUCUCUCUCUUGUGACUUUUUUACCAGAACGAAAUCAUCUUGUCUGGGGCUGCCUCUGCCUGCGUUUUGUUAUUGUUCAUGGUCUCCUUGAGAGCGAAGUGUGAGGCAGCUAAAAGCAUUCCUUUGGAGAUGCUAUCUAAUCAGCCAGGGACUUGCGGGGCCCCUGGAGUGGACGGAAGGACGCACCCCUGCAAGGGCCACCCCCACCCGCACACCCCCUCCGUGCUGGAGGCUCGGCAGGUAGCAGGGAAAUUUCUCGGUUUGGGCGGUUUGGCUUUUUACGGCCAUCGGUCCUGAAUGCGUGACAGUGUUGCAUUUUUAAUUAUGAUGAUGUUAAAUGAACUUAAUGGGUGACUCUCUCCCGAUUCACAGAGCGUUUUUAUAACAUUUAUUAAAAAAGGCCAAAGUUUAUUUUACAAUCCGUAAUAAACGGGGACACAAAAAUGCA